AUACCCAACAUUUUCCGAAAUUUCAAACUCGACCGCCCGCCUCUCUCUCUCUCGUUCUCGGCACUCUUUCCUCUUCUCACCUGACCGGCUCUGCCCAAACUCAGCCGCCGCCUCCUCCCGCACCGGCCUCCUCUUCGUUCAGUCGGAUUUGAAACUCCGGGGUAAAUCCGCUCUCAACUCCAACCCUAAAUCCGGUCCCGCUGAAGGCGAAUCCACUGCAGAGCUGAGACCUAUCGUCUUCGUCUUGUUCUUGACGGUCUCCGCCUGAGAUGGGACAUUAAGCAUCCUCUGGCAGCACCAAGUUUCGAAGACAAGCCAUGGAGGAGCCUCAUUCUGUGAGCAGUCCCAGAAGAAUUUUAAGUCUUUCAAAGAAGAAAAAGGCAAUUUUUUACUUUUCAGAUUCAGAGGACAAAACAUCUGGUUUCGGAGUCUCUGGAGAGCACGGUCCCAAGACCUCAGAAGUCUAUGGAUUUGUGGGCUCCAUAACAACCAUUGGAGCCACAGGUCUGCUCUGCUUUUCAUGGUUUUUUUUUUUUUUCGUAUCCUUAAGGGAUUACUCCAAUUCUUCUUCCUACUGUCAGUUUGGUAGCAUGAUGGAGGUCAAUUGGGCUUACUCAUGCGUCACUGGAAAAACGAAAGGUUUUCAGAGGAGGCUGAAGCAGUGUUUGUUUUUAUUAUUAUAUAUAUUUUCAUUCGUUAUGGCGUGAUGGAGGUCAACUGGUCUAGUGAUGGGCUCUUGUUCCUCGUAGUUUCUCCUCCCUCUUACAUCUGUACAUUUUGUUCUAGAUACUUUCUUGAUGACUGACUUGAUGUUAAAGGCAUCAUGUGAAUAAGAUGAUAUCUUGGUUGAUUUAUUCUCUCUGCAGUUAUUUUUCUCACAUGGGCAUACGUCCCUGAGCAUUGGCUACCCGCAAUUGGAAUAUUUUACUAUCCUAGUAGGAUUAAAAUUUCCCUCCUUGUGGAGCGGAACUGGGAUUAUAUCAUUGGGCCAUGGAAUGGAAUUGAAUUCAUUGCCUUACCCCAUUCCAAAGAUGCUCAACGGGAUAUUAGUCUCACAGCUCGUAUGGAUGAAUAACAUUGAAUGCCAUAAGGAUCAUCAAACAGAUGAGUAACAUAACUUCUAUAUUGUAUGAAAAUGGCCCCACUCCCCACCAAAAAAAAAAACUAUGAGAGUUUUUUUUGUCAACAUAUACUUCCAGGUUGAAGGUUCGGGCUUUGUAUUUGAUUUUGUGCAAGUUGUAGGAUUUAUCCAGCCUAUUAUUAAAUCCAUGUUGGGCUUUUCAGGUACUGGGCGUUGGCAAUUCCAGUGUAUGUCAUGGUGACAGUAGUGUUGGCACUAGGAUUUUAUGUUGGGCUCAACUUCAUGUCAACCCCUCCCCCGACGUCAAUAAACACAUUAUUUGAUGAAUUCAGUAGAGAACCUUCGAGCUCUAGUCUCUUGGCAGAUGGAGAUGAGCUACCCAUAGAACCGAUUUCCGACAUUGGCAUUGAUGAGAUAAACAGGCGAAUGUUUGGUUCAGUAAACUGAGUAUCAGAACCGGUACAAUGGCUAUCUGAUUCUUGUAUAUUGUAUUAAUAUAAGAGCUUGAAGUUGCGUCGGAAAACUCUGGCCCAAACUUGUGAAUGGUAUAGAAGGAAGGAAAUAGUCAACGCAUUUGGACAAUAUGAUUGACCCAAAUAAUUUGGGUGCCGGUACCGGGGGUACCGAAGAAUUCACCAUCUUAAAAUUCAUCUGAGUGGUGCUUCAAGCUUCUCGAAGGCAAUCUUCGCACG